GUCCAGAUAGUGUAGUGGACAGCGCAUCUGCCUAGCAAGCAGGAGACCUGGGUUCGAAUCCCAGACUGGCACA